UACGAAGGGGGCUAGCGUUGCUCGGAAUCACUGGGCGUAAAGCGCACGUAGGCGGAUUGUUAAGUCAGGGGUGAAAUCCUGGAGCUCAACUCCAGAACUGCCUUUGAUACUGGCGAUCUCGAGUCCGGGAGAGGUGAGUGGAACUGCGAGUGUAGAGGUGAAAUUCGUAGAUAUUCGCAAGAACACCAGUGGCGAAGGCGGACUCACUGGCCCGGUACUGGACGCU
rnacentral:rRNA from 1 species